UGCCCUCGAUUGUCUCGCUAGGAGGACGAGAACCACGCCCAAGCCGCCAUCGCCGCCGCCGAUCCCUUCACCGCGACCGAUCUACUCGCUAUGUCGACGGCAACCACGCCCUAGCCGCCAUCACGGAUCCUUUGCCGUCCCAGCCCCAAGACGAGCCGCUGCCGGCGAGGACCGAGAGGAGCCACCGCUUCCAGGUUGCCGCCUUCACACACUGCCUCGGGUUCAUUGAUCUCUCCUCACCUCGCCACUCCUCACUGCCAGCCCCGCACAGCUCUACCCCCAUGGCGGCAAUUCGUUCAAUGGCGUCCAUGAGAGGUGGCUGCAGCCGCCAUGGUGCCGAUCCGGUCCUUGCUGCUGGAUCCGGCCCUCUCCACUCCGCCUCUCGGUCCGAUCCAAUAGAGGCCUCCGAUGGCGGCCUCACCGUCGACGCCACCAUCAUGCCGGUCCUCCCCGACACCUCUUCCUCCACCAUCAAGGCCCAGGAGACCUUGGAGCUCACCCCCAGCGCGUCCCCUGCUUCCAUCGAGAUGGUGCCAGUCACCUGUUCGACGGAAUGCUUGACCCAGGUCACCGCCGUCACCCAUGUUGACGAGGUCCAUGAUGCCACCACCUGCGCCCCGAGCCCGCCGUCAACAUCAACGACGAGGACGUCGAGAAGGUCCCACCCGCGUGGGCACCGCCCACCAUCAGCACCGACACCUCCUAUCUCAACAAGGAGGUCGUUCCUCCCAUGGCGACCACCAUCGACAUCAACCCCAAGGCCCACAUAGAAGAGUUAGACCAUGACGUCAUCCUCGUGGCCUCCAACAACCUCACAACACCAGCACCGACUAGGUGCUUGACAGAAAGCUCCGUCCGUGCAGGCGACUGGGUGAAGCAUCUAUCCGCCCUGAACUAUGGCGUUCACCAUAUAGCAAAGAGAACAACUAGGUGCCUGCUGCCAGGACAACAAGGAACCAUGUAGCAACCAUGGUUACCCACUAUUCCAGUGCAUGUUGUUGUGAUCAACACCGUUCUAUUCCAUGGCAUAGCUCACUGUAGUGUCUCUGGUGAUCCUGUAUAUGUGUGGUGGCCACCGGACGACCAAUCGAGGACUAAGUGUGAAGUGCAAGAUCCUAUUCAGUAUACUCGAGGUAACACUACUCUGGAUUACAAUAAUUCGACCUUCCAUGGCAAAGCAGCGGGGCAGCCCGAGGUGAACCAUGACUUGGAGAAGCAGAGCAUUGUCAGGUUUGAUGCACUGCUUGGUGAUCCAGACAAGUUGAAGGAAGAACAAGCAACUGUCAAGGCCCAAGUUGUCUUUGGAUGUUACCUAGCACGCUGGGCAUUCCGUGCAUUGGAAUGGAUCAUAUGACUUCAGGCACUGAUUCGUGGCCAUCUUGUACAAAGCAAUGCCAACCUUUCUGGUGAUGCAAUUCAAUUUAGUUGAAAGUUUGUCAAGCAAAAAUCCGUGGUUCCUAAACUAGAUGCAUGGAGAGAGAGGUCAACUUCCAAUGCAAUUGCUCACAAGCUUCUAGCUUCACCGAUUCUGGGAGAGGCCUUUCACUUUCAGUACAGCGAGAGGGAUCCCAAUUCAGCCUUCAACUGGUUAGAGAGAUGGAACAUUAGUCGUGUUUGGAAACCCACUCAUCAAACAAGGAUAGGUGCUAUUACUGAUGCCAAACCUGCUCACUACAGUCAGCAUGCUACAAUAGUGAUGCAUCUAUUUCAGAGUGUGAAGAACACAAGUACUUUGACUGCAGACCUGUCAAGCAAAAAUGAUCUCCAGUCCAUGCAGUUUCAGCGCCAACAAUGUUUCCCGGAAUGUGCACCAUAUAAUGCAGAGGUGCAGAGCGCUAGUAGUCACUUGUAGUAUGCACUCCAGCUUCAAGCGUUGGAUGUUUCUACAGAUUUCAGUACGGUAGAAUUGCAGGCAAAUUAUUGCAAUAGAAGCUUGGCAAUACAUGCAAAUUGCAUGAAUUCUUGGAAUCUCAACAACAGUGAACAUACUGACCCAGAAUCCCAAUCUGCAUGUUCUAGGAAGGUGGGAAACUUCUUUAUAGAUGGUGUUCAGCUGCCAGUUGAUAACUCUUGCUUGAUAAAUUCAGUAUGCUCUGUACCUGGUUAUCAAAAUGAUCUUACUGUUACUAAUGUCGACGAUAUGCUCAAAUCCACUACUGAAGAUAACUGCAGCAAAGGCAUUUUAAUGCAGGACAAUGCAUUGCAUUUUUUCUGGGAGGCCAGACCUGAACAACAAGAGGACAUCUACAACAGGGAGAGUACCGCUGAAAUUCCUACGAGAUAUCAAGUACAGGAACAUGCUGCCAAAUGCAGUUUACCUACGCCUGACCAUCAGCCAAGGAUGUAAACAAUCUGCAAGAAAUGUUACCUUAUACCCCAUUGCAUACUUUUCUGGUCUCAUAGGUGGAGCAGUAAACCAUUUUCUUUUGGACAUCUUGCAUCAUAUCUGCAUUCUUACUCCAUAAGCGUCACUUUGAAUGACAGUCAUGAGCAUCCAUAUGUACAGUUCGACAAGCUAUUGGCCACUCGAAUUGAACAAGAGGUAUUCGAUCAAAGGUGUACUUCUAGCUGGGCAUACAAACCUAACCAAUAUGGUGAUCUCUUGGUCCUUUCAUGUUUGACGGUUCAACAUGUUUAUGUUCUGUGGUCUAGGUGCAAAGCCAUCUGGCUCAUCCCAACAGAUCCAUUCACAAAUGAGCAGCAACUACUUGGGUAUACGAGUUUGAAUUGCUUCGGCUUUAUUCAAGGAGUUCCUUGUGAUUCUGGUUCUUCUACUGCUGUCUUGGACCUUUACUGCUCAUGGCAGUACCUUGUCAAGCUAUGGAUGGUGCUCUUCUUGGGGACCAGAUGCAGGUCUCACCACUACUCUGUUUUGGUUAGCCCAUAACAGCAAAAAACUACAAGAAGGGAUGCCAUGUAUUUCUCAGAGCUCUACUACGUGUGGUGGCUUGCAUGCAAUGAGAUCCAUAACUGAAGAUUAUCCUAUAGUUCUUAUCCUGGUAUGGCAGUUCAUACAAUCAGUUCACCAUGCAACUUCUUGCGAGCAGUGGGACCCAGGAGGAUUGUAUUUUGCGGAGCCAGGAGAUCGAGCACCAACUUGGGGGGCAAGCCGGUUGUUAAGGAGGAGGGGAUGUCAGCGUCCCAAAUUACUAUGGAAGCAGCAAGCCCACCAAGCAACUUGUACAUUGGCCGAACCUGAAGAUGGGCCAUAACCGACUACAAAUACCAGCACGGGAAGCAGCAGGCAACUCAUCCGGGCUUGGAUCACGACAAUGGCGGCUUCCCUGGCACCCUCUAUCUUUCUUCCUCCUCCCUCCCUCUUCCUCCUUGUUCUCUGAACUCUAGCAAUUUCUCUUGUAUCGAGCUGUAAUUCGAAAUCAUGAUUGAGAAAAGUGAAUCGAUAGCUGGUCCCUAACAUCGUGAGGUCCUAGCGGCAACGUCAGGCCCCUUGCGGUUGGGGUCGAUUUGAGGUUGCUCCGGUGGAAUCAUGGAACAUGCCCCAUUGUUACAGCCUUACAGGGGCUCCCAAGGCCAGGUUAGCGAAAUCCAGUUGCUCCACGUACGGGGUUAUUUUCACCUCUGUUUGCUUUUGCGUUUUUGCAAGCCAAAAAUAGGUGAGCGAAUCGGGAUUCAGAUGUGGGGGAUUUUUGGCCAUGAUGUUGUUCCAUAUUCUUUUUGCGAUUCAGCCACGACAAUGGGAGCUUGGAAGCGAGCUAGACUUGAAUUGCAUGUGAGCGAGCUCGGUGACGAUCGCAAGACCCCACCUCGAGUGUUCCCAUCCACCUACAUCGGCUUCAUACAGGUGAAGACACAUGCUCAAUCUACCAUUACAUGGUUGGCACAUGCUUGAAUGUAUGAAACUAUUAUUCUUGCUAAGUUUUUCUCUUUCAACCAUGAAGUGCAAUAGUAUAGGUGAGCGCUCGUACCAGGCUCCAGAUUGCCACAUUUGUCCAACAAAUGCACCAGCUUAAAAAUCUUGCUGUUUGUAUGCAUCCACCACCUGAACCUUAAUCCGAGUUUAUGAAGAAAUUGAUGUAACAUCUGCUCUUAUGUUCUUUGUAACUACCGAAUUGGAACCCGAUGGGAAGUAAUUUUUGAUUGAAUGAACAGGGCCACUAUGUUUUAACA